rnacentral:rRNA from 1 species
GCCCUGGCUGGGUGGUCCGGCCACUUCGGUCGGUACUGCUUUGGCUGGGGUUCACUUUCUGGUGAGCCAGCAUGCUCUUAAUUGGGUGUGUUGGGGAACCAGGACUUUUACUUUGAAAAAAUUAGAGUGUUCAAAGCAGGCAACCGCUUGAAUACAUUAGCAUGGAAUAAUAGAAUAGGACUUUGGUUCUAUUUUGUUGGUUUCUAGGACCGAAGUA